UUUUUUUUGCUAAGCAAGGAGUAAGGACAGACAUCGGGAGGAAACACCGACAUCCCAACUAGAUUGGCAUCCUGGGAAACCUCCGUCCUAUGCCGCCAAACUCUAAAAUUUUAUUAAAAAAAAGGAAAAAUAUAUACAAGAAGAGGGGGGACUAGGCCAAAACCCUCAGAAGAAAAACAAACAGAAAAUGGCUGAAAUAAACUACUACAGACUAAGAAAAUCUGUAAUUAGGCAAACCAACGCUAUUAAGAAAGAAAUCUAUAUGCAACUCUGUCGGAAGCAUUUCAAACCAAACUGAACCCUGAACGGCCAGACUCUCUAUCAUUUAUUUCGUCACCCCAAUAAUUUCCCAAUACCACGAGGGAACAUGUUCAAAAUAAAUCAUUGGCUCCACAAUUACCAAUGGCUUAUGAGACAUAAUUUUAUUUUAUAGCAAUCCUAAAUAGGGCAGUACCAAAAUCAGCAUAAUUGGCUUCAUAUUGUCAUCAAUAAGAAUAUUUUUUGAAGCUAUGUUAAACCUAACAUUCCACGUUAAGAGUGAAGGGUGAUUCUUUUCAUGUAAAAUAUCAUGAAGGCUUCUUUCCAUGAAUUAAUACAAGACUAAACCACAAUCCUCUCCAAUAGUAUAGGUAGUUGAUUAUGUUUAUGCACAUCAAUUUCCUUGCACAUCAUAAAUAGCAGCUUCUGCCUGUUCCUUGUGAAAUCAAAGUUCCUCACAGCAAAAACCUAUUGACCAAGUAAAACUUUGUACACAAUACCAAUAAUAUAUUGAUUUCUCUGUAGCCUGCAACACGACAUGCAGCUUUUCUUCAUAUACAAGUGACUGAUGAUACGAUAUUUGUAAUGUUAUGCAUUGAUCAGACACAGACAAAACAGUGGAGGAAAUGUCCUUGCCCAAAGUGCCCAUAAAUUCGGUUGUAAAUAACUCCAAUAUUAUUCCAAUACCACGAGGGAACAUGUUCAAUAUCAUCGGCUCCACAAUGAAAAUAAUAACAGGUUUAUGUGACAGAAAUAAAUUUCGUAAAGCAAUUUUAGUUGCAAAAUUAUCGAUACCUCGGAUAUUCCAAUAAAGGACAUUCAUGAUGAUGGAGGAGGAGGGGUACCCUUUGCUCGGGUAUUGUACAAAGCCUUUCCUAACACUUGCUUUUUUGCUUCUUUUUGCUGCUUUUUGGAUAAUACUUGCGUGAAUCCUUCCUCCGCCAUCCGUUUGUCAUAUUCUUGAAUACGUGCCCAAAGGUCCAAGUCAUUCU
rnacentral:lncRNA from 1 species